UACAACUUCCCCUUGCUGUAAUAAAUAUGCAGACAUGAGAACUGUGCCUUGCAAUUCGUUGCUUAAACAGUCUUAAAAAAACAAAAUACCCACUUUGGUGAAUGCAAAGAAGCCAUCGGGAGUAGACCAAUAGAUAACACACCAAGACCUUUUGCUGGAAGAGGAGACAUGAGAGGCGCAGCUUCCAUAGUGUGCCACAGUCAAAACUCCACCCUCAGCAAAAAGAACCGAGGAACAAGAACAUUAAGUCUCUUCCCAGAUCGCAUUCCAGCCGAGCUCAUGGACAUCUACAUUUGAGACAAUCAAAGCUGAAGCUGUGGCUUUGCCCCUCACCAUGCUCCUGCUACCCUCAGCAGAGCCCUGAAGAGCUGGGUCAUCAGGAUCCUAUGAGAUCAGCCCUUCCUGGAGAAAUGGUGGGUGCAGCCCCAGCAUUGUCACUGCUGCCUUGCACUGGGAGAGUGCUUUUGUUGAGUAUGAAAGCUGAUAUGGAUCAUAAGGAGCUGGAGAAGUAAUCCAAAGGAGGCAGGAAGCAAUCCAGGUGAAGAAAUACGACCUCUGUAAGGAAAGCCUGAGAAAAGUUAUGGUUAUUUACUCAAAACAAGACUGGAGGAACACAUGAUAUCCAUUUCUAAACGCAACAAAAAAGUGUGUGGUUCUCUAUGUCCAUUCAGGUGCAGCAAGGAUUGGAACAAGGCAGGUUUAGGUCAGAGAUUUCCCACUGGUUUCCAGCUGCCAGGAGAGCCACACUACUGAGUGGGGUGCCAGGGGAGAUGCUCCAAAGUUUGCUUAUGGAGGUCUAGGGAGGCUGGUAAGUAAAGCAUGGUCAGUCAGGGAUGGUUUGUACGAAAUUUCUCCUGCCUUGGUGCUUAGGGAUGGACUAACAGAGGUACUGAGUCCAUCCCAGUCCUCUUUGCUGGGAUUACCACAUUGUAUAAACUCAAGUGUAGGUCUGACCUAGCUGGAAUGUUUUUGCCAUUAAGUGAAACAAAAGGCUUACAGAUGUGAAUGGCAAAUUACAUACUGCAAAUUAAAGCUUUAAGUAAUUAAGCAUGGCCCUUUCACAUUGUAUUUAUACUUCAUGAAUGUUAUUUUAGUUCAUUUCAUAUAAAUAACAAGUUGAGAAUUGCUGUUCUUAAUUGAAACCAUCUCUACUUUUCUAUGGCAAGAGAUUACCAUUUUUAACAGACUCUUUGUGUUCCACUGAGGCUUAUCGUAGGAUUUUUUUUGCACUGUUGCUAGGCAGCUUCAUGCAUGCCAGCAGACAGAGACUGCUGGCUAUGUCAUGGCUAAUUAGGAAAAAAUCUCUGUACUUUUGAGUAUACUGCAGCCCAAGUUUUUCAAGCUUGCUGCUCUGGACAAAGACAAAUUAAUCUUUAUGAGGACUGAUGAAGCACCAUCAUGGCAGCUGUGCUGUGCUCUAAUAUUUUUUAUUUACAGUCCCCUGGAUCCACCGAGUGAAUGAAGUGGUAAAUAUCUAAACAUUAUCUGUUCGUGUUUGUGGGAAGAGAGCAUUGAAUGGAGCUGUGCUAACAUUGGCUUUGUCCUGGCAAUUUCAAAGAAUCGAGCAUCACAUUCAGAUACAAGAUUUGCUCAAUUACUGCAAGCAGAAUAUUUUGCAAGGAAGAAUCAGGAAUUUUUGGAGGGGUGUGAGAAGUUUUAUUCCUACAAAGCAGUUUGACAGUGAAAAAACCUCUUAAAUGUUAUUGUCAAUUCUACCCUGACUGUCUUUAUAGAUUAGCCAGUGCACAGGGUAUAAAUGCCUCUGCAGAAGAGCUUUCAUAGAAAGAUGCACAACUGCAGGGGAGCAAUGCCAGGAGGCAACCGCAUCCAAAGCCCAUGAACAAAGCUGCCUGGUUCUCAAACUUUAAAGCAUGAGGUGGCUUUUCUUCUGGCUAUUUACAGCAGUUAUCCGUGCGGACAGUUAAUGAAUAUUAGGGAAGAGUCCUUGCUGGAGUUGAACGUGCCUAGCAUCAGUUAUGAUUGCUUUGACUGCUGUUUACUCUGAAGAGAGAGAACCAGAAACUUGUCAUUUCCAUGAAGGGGAAUGUAGGCUGUAGGGCAAAUCCUCAUUAAAUCUCUUAGGAAUUUAUGAUUUGAAAACAUAGUGAAUGGCAGGUUGAAGUACAGGGAUUAUAAGAGCUGAAGACACCUGAUACAGAGAUUUAACAGGGAGUAGAUUUAACUUGUGCUUGGUUUUCCUUUUUCUUUGGAUGGAUUGCUUUUAAUCUGGAUGCAGUUCAGAGAAACAAACAUUCUGAAAGAAGCUUUAAACUGCUUCCACAGUCAGACAAGAAGUAGAUUUGUAGAAACUUCUGAAUCCUUCAGAGAUGUCUUUUGAAUAACGAAGGUGAAUCUGUGUUACAUGCAAGCUCUGAACUGGUAAUGGAAGCAGCUACUGCCUUCUCUUCUUUUUCAAAACCUCGUUUCAUCAUUUUGUUUUUCUUUGCCUACCCUUUCUUGCCUGAACAUACUAUAUUUCUGUUACUUGUUCAUGUAAAACACAGUUCUGAUAGAGAUAGCAGGGCUUAUCACAUGGCAGUCUGUCUUUGUACCUGGGGUGGCCAUCUGCACUGGCUGCCUUUCUUUUCUUGACACCAUUGUAGUGAAGGGAGGGGAAGAGAAAGAGGAAGAGGAAGAGGAGAGAAGAGGAAAAAGGAAAAAAGAACAAAGGAAA